rnacentral:tRNA from 1 species
GCCAAUGUGGCAUAGUGGUUUGAGUGUUGGACUACGAUUCUGGAGAUCAGGGUUCAAUUCCUGCUCAGCCA